rnacentral:rRNA from 1 species
UACCAGCACCCCGAGUGGUCGGGACGUUUAUUGGGCCUAAAGCAUCCGUAGCCGGUUCUACAAGUCUUCCGUUAAAUCCACCUGCUUAACAGAUGGGCUGCGGAAGAUACUAUAGAGCUAGGAGGCGGGAGAGGCAAGCGGUACUCGAUGGGUAGGGGUAAAAUCCGUUGACCCAUUGAAGACCACCAGUGGCGAAGGCGGCUUGCCAGAACGCGCUCGACGGUGAGGGAUGAAAGCUGGGGGAGCAAACCGG